rnacentral:lncRNA from 1 species
AGCCUCCUCCCAUUACUUCCUCCAGGCUCUUCAAGCUUGCUCCCAAUAAAAACAGUAGUAUUUUCCUUUGAUAUAGGCAGUUGUUGCUCUCUCAUUCUUAUCUAAAGGAUGAAGAAAAGCAUCAUUAAAAAGUACUUUACUCUUUAGGUUGAUCAGGAACAAUUAUUUUAUGAAAUAACAAACUUGUCAAAGUGUAUAUGGAGAAUACAGCUUCUACUCACCAAAUAAAACAUGGGAAGGCUGCCCAGAGCCCAUCUGUGCAUUAAACCCAUGCUGGGCUGAGCAGAGGUCCAGUAAGUAUUUACUGGUCUUGGCUGAAUCUGUGACAAAUGUGUGCUUCUUCCCAGUGA